UGAGUGUGAAAAAACAUUGUUAGCUAACGUUACUUAGAUAACGUCUAUCAACCAAGUCCUGUCUCCAACGUGAAUUAAAGACUACCUGAAGGCACUCCAGGAACUCAGGAUCAUAAUCCCCACCACAAUUGCAUCAACGUCGUCCUUCUACACACCGUUCUUCACUAUACUCUGUUCGUCUGCACACACUUGAAACUUGGACAAAUUCUUUACAAUUCUUACAUUGCAGGGAUUUAGAGACGAAAGUUCUUACAGGGUGUCUCACAUAACCAAGCUUUACAUGAAUAGGUAAUUGCUCUUUAUCAAAUUAUAUAUUUUUUUAAUUCACAAGGCCGACAGACUUUUUUUACCCCCAUUCACCCAGCGGGCCAGACGCCAGGAACCAACCACACCAGGAAUUCUCUUCAGGUAUUCAACCUGAACAUCCAUCGUCACCCCUGAGAUGACUCCUUUAACGGGUGCUCUACUCCGAAGUUCAAAACUUCUGUUGUCUGGAUUAUUUUGAAGCCCACUGCAAUCUUCCUCUGCUCUUCAGAAAUACAAUGAAUCAAAAUAAGACCACUCCUGGUCACUCUGUUAGACUCCACUUUUCCAAGCGCAUACUUCACCAUUUGACACCUCAAAUGGGUUUCCCACAUAUGCAUCCUUACUCAACAAACGCAUCCCAACAAGAAGCUAUUCAUUAUCAAUUCCACACCUGGAUUAUUUUCAAAAAAUUUCAGGCUCAGUCUAAUUGGUUGCUGAUCAUUGCUAUACAACCAUUUUCAGGUCUUGCCAUAUAUUGUCAAGUAGAUUUAAGUCAAAACUGUAACUCGGCCACUCAGGAACAUUCACUGUCUUCUUGGUAAGCAACUCCAGUGUUAAUUUGGCCAUGUGUUUUAGGUUAUUGUCCUGCUGAAAGGUGAAUUCAGACAACCAGCAGAUGGAACCAGGUUUUCUAGGAUUUUUUUCUGUGUGUAAAGGAUGUGAAAUGGCUAGCUAGUUAGCGGGUACGCGCUACUAGCGUUUCAAUCAGUUACAUCACUUGCUCUGAAACCUAGAAGUAGUGUUGCCCCUUGCUCUGCAAGAGCCGCGGCCUUUGUGGAGCGAUGGGUAACGAUGCUUCGUGGGCGACCGUUGUUGAAGUGUGCAGAGGGUCCCUGGUUCGCGCCCAUGUCGGGGCAUGGGGAUGGUUUAAAGUUAAACUGUUACAUUGAUGCUGUUGACCCGGAUCACUGGUUGCAGCGGAAAAGGAGGAGGUUGAAAGGGGGGUGAGUGUAACGGAUGUGAAAUGGCUAGCUAGUUAGCGGGUACGCGCUACUAGCGUUUCAAUCAGUUACGUCACUUGCUCUGAAACCUAGAAGUAGUGUUGCCCCUUGCCCUGCAAGGGCCGCGGCAUUUGUGGAGCGAUGGGUAACGACGCUUCGUGGGUGACUGCUGUUGAUGUGUGCAGAGGGUCCCUGGUUCGUGCCCGAGGUCGGGGCGAGGGGACGUACUAAAGUUAUACUGUUACAUGUGCUUAGCUCCAUUCCAUUUUUAUCCUGAAAAACUCCCCAGUUCUUAAUGGUUACAAGUAUACCCAUAACAUGUUGCAGCACCACUAUGCUUUAAAAUAUGGAGAGUGGUACUCGUAAUGUAUUAGAUUUUCCCCAAACACAACACGCUGUAUUGGGGACACAAAGUUAAUUGCUUUCCCAAUUUUCUUUUGCAGUAACAAGUACCUUGUUGGAAACAGGAUGCAUGUUUUGGAAUAUUGUUAUUCUGUUCAGGCUUUGUUCUUUUCACUCUGUCAAUUAGGUUAGUAGUGUGGAGUAACUACAAUGUUAUUGAUCCAUCCUCAGUUCUUCUAUCACAGCCAUUAAACUCUAACUUGUUAAAGUCACCAUAGGCCCCACCAUGGUGAAAUCCUUGAGCGGUUUCCUUCCUCUCUGAGUUGGAAGGGAGCCUGUAUCUUCAAAGUGACUGGGUGUAUUGAUACACCAUCCAAAGUGUAAUUAAUAACUUAACCAUGCUCAAAGGGAUAUUCAAUGUCUGCUUUUGUUUACCCAUCUACCAAUAGGUGCCCUUCUUUGUGUGGCAUUGGAAAACCACCCUGGUCUUUGUGGUUGAAUCUGUGUUUGAAAUUCAAUGCUCGACUGAGGGGACCUUACAUUUAUCUGUAUGCGUGGGAUCGUCAUCCAUGAAACUGAUUAUGAAAGUUUUUACACCUGAACUUAUUUUGGCUUGCCAUAUAACAAAUUGGUUGAAUACUUAUUGACUCAAGACAUUUCAGCUUUUCAUUUUGUAUUAAUCUGUAAACAUUUAAGAACAUAAUUCCACUUUGACAUUAUGGGAUAUUGUGUGUAGGCCAGCGACAAAUCUCAAUUGAAUCCAUUUUAAAUACAGGCUGUAACACAACAAAAUGUGGAAAAGUCAAGGGGUGUGAAUAGUUUGAAGGCACUGUGUAUUUCAAUGAUAUUUAAAUAAAUGUCAAGACACUGUCUGUCA